rnacentral:lncRNA from 1 species
AUAAUUUACAGACGCCAGUGCAAAACAAAAAAUACAGGGCUCCUUGCUAAAAAUUCAUUAAGAAUUAUUUUUUCAGGAUGGCAAUAAAAGAGCACUAAACCAAGCAUGGGGCCCAGUGCAGCUGCACAGAGGAUGCAUGCCCAUCAAGACAACUCUUGACACCAAGCUAAACAGUGUCUCACGGUUCAAACCCAGCUGUCCCCUCCAAGGAAAAGAGCUGAGCAAGGAGCACCACCAGCUGGCCAUGUCCCUGGAGAAAGAGUUGCUUCCCCAACAGGCAGAGCUGGUGGUGACCAUCCUGGACCCAAUUCUUCCCAGGCAGGGGGAGGCAGUCUUCACCUCAGGCUGUGCAAAGGCUUUUACAGUGAGGAGCUGAAGGGAUACGGGUGUGUAUGUACGCUGCUCCAGAAGCAGCAGAGACGCUGAACAGGAGACAACAGGAACCAAGUGAUCUCGC